rnacentral:rRNA from 1 species
UGCCAGCCGCCGCGGUAAUACGAAGGGGGCUAGCGUUGUUCGGAAUCACUGGGCGUAAAGCGCGCGUAGGCGGAUUGGUAAGUCUGAUGUGAAAGCCCGGGGCUCAACCCCGGAAGUGCAUUGGAUACUGGCAGUCUUGAGUAUGGGAGAGGAAAGUGGAAUUCCGAGUGUAGGAGUGAAAUCCGUAGAUAUUCGGAGGAACACCAGUGGCGAAGGCGACACACUGGGUCUUAACUGACGCUGAGGCAGUAAAGCUAGGGUAGCGAACGGGAUUAGAUA